ACAAACUUGGUCAUUUAGAGGAAGUAAAAGUCGUAACAAGGUUUUCGUAGGUGAACCUGCGGAAGGAUCAUUAGUGAAUUCUGGGAGUCCCUCCUUACCGGAGAAGGCCCAAUCCACUACCUUUACACACUCGUGCAAUUGUCCCUUUUUCAUAACCCUUGUGCAUUACAAACGGUUGUUGAUACAAGUUGAUCAUUAGAAAGAAAAACUUUCAGCAAUGGAUCUCUUGGCUCUCGCAUCGAUGAAGAACGCAGC
rnacentral:misc_RNA from 1 species